AUGAACGCUGGCGGCGUGCCUAAUACAUGCAAGUCGCGCGAACGGACGAGAAGCUUGCUUCUCUGAUGUUAGCGGCGGACGGGUGAGUAACACGUGGAUAACCUACCUAUAAGACUGGGAUAACUUCGGGAAACCGGAGCUAAUACCGGAUAAUAUUUUGAACCGCAUGGUUCAAAAGUGAAAGACGGUCUUGCUGUCACUUAUAGAUGGAUCCGCGCUGCAUUAGCUAGUUGGUAAGGUAACGGCUUACCAAGGCAACGAUGCAUAGCCGACCUGAGAGGGUGAUCGGCCACAAUGGAACUGAGACACGGUCCAGACUCCUACGGGAGGCAGCAGUAGGGAAUCUUCCGCAAUGGGCGAAAGCCUGACGGAGCAACGCCGCGUGAGUGAUGAAGGUCUUCGGAUCGUAAAACUCUGUUAUUAGGGAAGAACAUAUGUGUAAGUAACUGUGCACAUCUUGACGGUACCUAAUCAGAAAGCCACGGCUAACUACGUG
rnacentral:rRNA from 1 species